AUAUACAGUACAUACACACACAGCACAAGGACGUGUUCACAAUACGAGACGUUUCUCAGGGCUGCAGUUCCUCUGAGCUCCACAAGAUGGUGAUCUCACCUCUACCCAGACAGGAAGUCUCUAUGGAAUACAAGCAGGAAGUGAUGUCAUGUAUUGACAGGAAAUUCCAUGUGGAAUUAAUUGGAAAGGAGACAAUGCUCGAUCUGGCGGCAGAGGAGAUCUACAGUUUCCUCCUGUAAAGUCUGGAGAUCAUAUGACCAUCACAUUGCCUCCACCUCCCUCCCUGAUAGAAUAGAGAAAUA